rnacentral:lncRNA from 1 species
UGUGGGCUUGUGGCUUGUUAUCUAUAUUUUGCCUGAAGAGAUAGAUCUUGUGUUACACUACACAUCCUUAGCUCAUUUAUGUCUUUUUAAAAGUUUAUGAAGAUGCAAAUUUCGUCCAUGACAAAAGACACAUGCUAUUUCUUCAAUGUUACACAAAACACACACACACUUUUUACCUAAAAUCAUUGUUUGUCAAAUUUCAU